ACCAACCCUAGCCCAAAAAGCUACCAAAGCAUAACAAUAACUCCUAAGUUAAAUAAAACAUUUACUCUAAUUAAAGUAUAGGAGAUAGAAAUUUUUACCUGGAGCUAUAGAGAAAGUACCGUAAGGGAAAGAUGAAAGAUAACAGUUUACAGUAAGACAAAGCAAAGACUAAUCCUUUUACCUUUUGCAUAAUGAGCUAACCAGAACCUAACUUCGCAAAAAGAAUUUUAGCCAAGUACCCCGAAACCAAGCGAGCUACCUACGAGCAAUCAAUUAGAAUCAACCCGUCUAUGUGGCAAAAUAGUGGGAAGACUUGUAGGUAGAAGUGAAAGACCUAGCGAGCAUGGUGAUAGCUGGUUGUCCAGAUCAGAAUUUUAGUUCAACUUUAAGUUUACCUAAAGCACUAAAUAAUCCCAAUGUAAACUUAAUUGUUAUUCUAAAGAGGUACAGCUCUUUAGAUAAGGGAAACAACCCCCUUUAGUGAGUAAAGCCCAAAACCACCAUAGUUGGCCUAAAAGCAGCCAUCAAUUAAAAAAGCGUUCAAGCUUAACUUAUAACUAAAACUUAAUUUCAAUAUUCUAGUCAUACCUCCUAAAUCUUAACUGGACUAAUCUAUACAAUAUAUAGAGGCAACAAUGUUAACAUAAGUAACAAGAAACAAUUCUCCCUGCAUAAGCUUAUAUCAGACCGAAUAAAUCACUGAUAGUUAACAAACAUAUAAUAAAAUACAAAAACUAAACUUUUAUUACUACUACUGUUAACCCAACACCGGAAUGCAUAAAGGGAAAGAUUCAAAAGAGUAAAAGGAACUCGGCAAACACUAACCCCGCCUGUUUACCAAAAACAUCACCUCUAGCAUCAAUAGUAUUAGAGGCACCGCCUGCCCAGUGACAUAUGUUCAACGGCCGCGGUAUCCUGACCGUGCAAAGGUAGCAUAAUCAUUUGUUCCUUAAAUAGGGACUUGUAUGAAUGGCUUGACGAGGGUUCAACUGUCUCUUACUCCCAAUCAGUGAAAUUGACCUCCCCGUGAAGAGGCGGGGAUAAUCAAAUAAGACGAGAAGACCCUAUGGAGCUUAAAUUUACUAAUCUAAGCAAUCCGACACUAACUUCCCCUGGAAUAAUUAAAACCUUGCCUUUAGAUUACAGAUUUUGGUUGGGGUGACCUCGGAGCAUAAAACAACCUCCGAAUGAUUUUAACCUAGACAUCACAUGUCCAAGUUCAUAUUCAUCAAUUGACCCAAUCCUAUUGAUCAACGGAACAAGUUACCCUAGGGAUAACAGCGCAAUCCUACUCAAGAGUCCAUAUCGACAGUAGGGUUUACGACCUCGAUGUUGGAUCAGGACAUCCAAAUGGUGUAACCGCUAUUAAUGGUUCGUUUGUUCAACGAUUAAAGUCCUACGUGAUCUGAGUUCAGACCGGAGAAAUCCAGGUCGGUUUCUAUCUAUUUAAUGUUUCUCCCAGUACGAAAGGACAAGAGAAAUAAGGCCAAUUCCCCCACCAUGCCUUAGAGACAAAAAGUGAAAUAAUCUCAAUUUAAUAAACCAUUACACCCAACCCCCGAGAACUAGGGCUU
rnacentral:rRNA from 1 species